GGACGGCUUGAUGCAGAAGCCAGGAUGGGGAAUUCUCAUAGCAUGGAGCAGUGGACGGUGGGGUUAGUGGUGCCUGGGGUUGAGAAGACCAUGGAGAGACACACAGAAGUGUAUCCGGCUUCCAGAACAUUCUAUAUCACAGGCAAUGUGCCCAUCAAAUCUGGACUUCAGCCACCCCAUGGUUCCCUUUAAAUGGUUCAUCUUCCUGAAAGAUCUGUGUGUGUUAUUAAGAAUUUAACAUCAAAAAAACACUUCUAAUCCAGAGCUGAUGGUGGAGAGAGGGACCCCAUAGGCAGCUCAUGGUUCCUACUCUGCUGGUUCUCCAGCAGCACCCUCGUGUCCUCCAGGUCCCAGGUGAGGUGGUGACACUUCCUCUUCAGUUGGUGAGCCAUCUUCUUGGCCUCUUCAUACGCAGUCUGCAACUCCCCAAGCUAUGGAGAGAAGAGAGAGAGAGGUUCACUGGCGCCCCCCCCCCAUUUCUAAGGUCAGAAGCUGGGGGAGAGAGGACCUCAGAGGAGUUCCUGUCAGUGUCAGGACGCCGCUUCCCCAAGCCCCACUUUGCUGGGAG
rnacentral:lncRNA from 1 species